AAAUAAAUGAAAACCAGAAAGUCUGCAUGAACUCCUGUAACAUGAAAUAACUGAGUCCUUGCCAGAUUUGCUUACUAUCUAAAAAUAGUUCAAUCUCAUCUAUUCAGAAUCUCCUGUGAUAACAGAAGGAGUAACAUAAAGACCAAGAGACAUGUGAGAAGCUAAGUCAGAGGCUUGAAAGGAAGCAAAAAGAUAAAUGGAUUCUGGAAGAGAGGAACUCUGUUGUAUUUGUACAGAGAAUCUGAAGCUGGAAAUUCCUUCACAGAUGCCAGGAGUGAGUUGACAAAGAAGACUUUCUGCAUACCUUACUGCUCUGCCUGGAAGCUAAAGAAAAAAUAAUCCUUUUGUAUGCCACAUGAAGCAGGUACUUCAGGAAGAGUUACGCCUAGUUAUUUCUUUGUCCAAAACAAAGCAGAAGAUUGGUUUUUAUCUUCCCUUGUGAAGUUUUCAGUACAGGAAAAGAUUUGUUUCUGCAAACUCUGUCCACAGUAGUCCUAGGUUGAAGUUACCUCUUUAUAUUUGGCUGGUAUAACUCUUUAGCUAAAAUGGAAUCUUUUCUCCUCCAAAAUGGUCUGAGCUGACUCCUC
rnacentral:lncRNA from 1 species